UACGUAGGGGGCAAGCGUUGUCCGGAAUCAUUGGGCGUAAAGAGCGUGUAGGCGGUCAGGUAGGGCCGUUGUGAAAACUCGAGGCUCAACCUCGAGACGCCGAUGGAAACCAUCUGACUAGAGUCCGGAAGAGGAGAGUGGAAUUCCUGGUGUAGCGGUGAAAUGCGUAGAGAUCCGGAGGAACACCAAAGGCGAAGGCAGUGUCCUGGGGAGUACCUGACGCUCAGGUGCGAAAGCCAGGGGAGCGAACGGG
rnacentral:rRNA from 1 species